GGAAAAUUAGUUAACAAUUUAUAACACUAGUCUGUCACUCUAGAAUUACUAAGCUAUUAGUAUUUUCCU
rnacentral:tRNA from 1 species